CAGUAUAGCUCAGUCAGUAGAGCGUGAGACUCUUAAUCUCAGGGUCAUGGGUUCAAGCCCCAUGUUGGGUGAAAGA